rnacentral:rRNA from 1 species
UGGGGAAUAUUGGGCAAUGGACGCAAGUCUGACCCAGCAACGCCGCGUGAAGGAAGAAGGCUUUCGGGUUGUAAACUUCUUUUAAGGGGGAAGAGCAGAAGACGGUACCCCUUGAAUAAGCCACGGCUAACUACGUGCCAGCAGCCGCGGUAAUACGUAGGUGGCAAGCGUUGUCCGGAUUUACUGGGUGUAAAGGGCGUGCAGCCGGAGAGACAAGUCAGAUGUGAAAUCCACGGGCUCAACCCGUGAACUGCAUUUGAAACUGUUUCCCUUGAGUGUCGGAGAGGUAAUCGGAAUUCCUAGUGUAGCGGUGAAAUGCGUAGAUAUUAGGAAGAACACCAGUGGCGAAGGCGGAUUACUGGACGAUAACUGACGGUGAGGCGCGAAAGCGUGGGGAGCAAACAGG